UUGAAUUGAAGAGUUUGAUCAUGGCUCAGAUUGAACGCUGGCGGCAGGCUUAACACAUGCAAGUCGAACGGUAGCAGGAGAAAGCUUGCUUUCUUGCUGACGAGUGGCGGACGGGUGAGUAAUGCUUGGGAAUCUGGCUUAUGGAGGGGGAUAACGACGGGAAACUGUCGCUAAUACCGCGUAUUAUCGGAAGAUGAAAGUGCGGGACUGAGAGGCCGCAUGCCAUAGGAUGAGCCCAAGUGGGAUUAGGUAGUUGGUGGGGUAAAGGCCUACCAAGCCUGCGAUCUCUAGCUGGUCUGAGAGGAUGACCAGCCACACUGGAACUGAGACACGGUCCAGACUCCUACGGGAGGCAGCAGUGGGGAAUAUUGCGCAAUGGGGGGAACCCUGACGCAGCCAUGCCGCGUGAAUGAAGAAGGCCUUAGGGUUGUAAAGUUCUUUCGGUAUUGAGGAAGGUUGAUGUGUUAAUAGAACAUCAAAUUGACGUUAAAUACAGAAGAAGCACCGGCUAACUCCGUGCCAGCAGCCGCGGUAAUACGGAGGGUGCGAGCGUUAAUCGGAAUAACUGGGCGUAAAGGGCACGCAGGCGGUUAUUUAAGUGAGGUGUGAAAGCCCCGGGCUUAACCUGGGAAUUGCAUUUCAGACUGGGUAACUAGAGUACUUUAGGGAGGGG
rnacentral:rRNA from 1 species